GACCUUUAGUUUGAAACCCCGAAACCAGGUGAGCUACCCCGAGACAGCCUAUUGAGGGCCAACCCGUCUCUGUGGCAAAAGAGUGGGAAGAGCUCCGGGUAGAAGUGACAGACCUACCGAACCUGGUGAUAGCUGGUUGCCUAAGAAAUGGAUAGAAGUUCAGCCUCGUGCUCCCCAAAUCAAACAAACGUUAACAAGACGACAAGAGAAACACACGAGAGUUAGUUAAAGGGGGUACAGCCCCUUUGACAAAGGAUACAACCUUUCUAGGAGGAUAAAGAUCAUAAUACAUAAAACAUACUGUUCUAGUGGGCCUAAAAGCAGCCACCUAAACAGAAAGCGUUAAAGCUCAGACAGAUAAAAGUUUAUUAUCCUGAUAAUAUAUCUUAUUCCCCUAAAUACUAUUAGGCCAACCCAUGCCCACAUGGAAGAGAUUAUGCUAAAAUGAGUAACAAGAAGGCCCGCCCUUCUCCAAGCACAAGUGUAAGCCAAAUCGGACCAACCAUUGGCAAUUAACGAACUCAACCCAAGAGAGCAAUGUGGAUUACAAAAAAACCUAGAAAAACCCACAACCUAACUAUCGUUACCCCCACACUGGAGUGCAACAAAGGAAAGACUAAAAGAAAAGGAAGGAACUCGGCAAACACAAGCCUCGCCUGUUUACCAAAAACAUCGCCUCCUGCAACACAACCAAGUAUAGGAGGUCCAGCCUGCCCAGUGACUACAAGUUCAACGGCCGCGGUAUUUUGACCGUGCAAAGGUAGCGCAAUCACUUGUCUUUUAAAUAGAGACCUGUAUGAAUGGCCAAACGAGGGCUUAACUGUCUCCCUUUUCCAGUCAGUGAAAUUGAUCUACCCGUGCAGAAGCGGGUAUAAUAAUACAAGACGAGAAGACCCUUUGGAGCUUAAGGUACAAAACUCAACCACGUUAAGCAACUCAAUAAAAAGUGAAAACUUUGUGGAACAUGAGAUUUUACCUUCGGUUGGGGCGACCACGGAGGAAAGAAGAGCCUCCAGGUGGACCGGGAAAAUUUCCUAAAACCAAGAGAGACAUCUCUAAGCCACAGAACAUCUGACCAAAUAUGAUCCGGCUAAUACAAGCCGAUCAACGAACCAAGUUACCCUAGGGAUAACAGCGCAAUCCUCUCCCAGAGUCCAUAUCGACGAGGGGGUUUACGACCUCGAUGUUGGAUCAGGACAUCCUAAUGGUGCAGCCG
rnacentral:rRNA from 1 species